AAUAUUGUUAAAAUGGUAGAUCAGCUUAGGGAAUAUUGCUGUUUUAACAAUAUUUUAAAUGCAGUUUCUAUGAAAAUUCCAUUGCCUUUUUGGCAGAUACAAGCUGACCCUAAAAUUCGUAAGGGACUGCAAAGGACUCAACAAUACCAAAACAAUUUUAAUAAACAAGAACAAAGAGGACUCAAUUCCACUUCCUAAUUUCUAAACUUACUACAAAGCUACAGUUAUCAGGACAAUGUGGUACUUAAGCUUAAGUAUAGACAGAGAGAGAGAUCAGUGGAAUAUAAUUGAGUCUAGAAAUAAACCCAUUCAUCAAUGACCAAUAGAUUUCAAUAAGGGUACCAAGAUAAUACAGUGGGGAAAGAUUCCUGCAGAAGGUGGCUUUGAGGAACCCUUCACUCACCCAUAGGCACCAGCUGGACCCAGGGACCCACAGCAGAAAGGCAGCUGGGACCAUCCACACCUGAGAAGGGGUGUUUACCUGAAAUACAGGAAGUCCACACUCUUGCAGAGUGCUUGCAAUAUGCUUUAUCAUUCUGUUAAUAAUUACUGAAGUUGUGGUAAGAAAUAGCCUAAUUAAUUCAUUAGUUUACCAUGCAUACACUGCCUGGGUUCAAAACCUGGCUCACAUAACUGAGUGUCCUUGAGCCAGUGGUUUAACCUCUUUUUCUCAGUUUCCUCACCUGUAAUAUUUGGAUAAUAAAGAUCUCUAUCUCAUAGAGUUAAGGGAAGGAUUAAAUGAGUCACUAUGCCCAACAAGACUCAAAUAAAAACGAUAUCAAUAUAGCAGCCUCUUUUGUGGUAGAUUUAGAAUAGCCACAGAUUCUUUCACACCCUUCCCACCAGUGGGUGGUGUCUGUAUUUCUUCCCCUUGAAUGCAGAUGGGUUCUACAGUAACUUUACCAAUCGCAUUUGGUAGGAGAGCUGCUGCCUCAGCCUUCAAAAACUGACAACUCCCCCUUCCUGUCUCUUCUGACACACGUCCUGUUAGAAGUCUGACCAUCCUGAGACCACCACGCUGGAGGACCACAUGGACAGGCCCAGCAGAGCCUGCUAGCCUCCCCCCAUCAGUGUGCCAGACAUGAGCAGGCCUUUCUCGGCCCAGUGUGAACACAGCGGACUGUGCCUCUCACUUCCCCCAUGAGCAAAACCACCAGCAGCCACAGCUGCACCUACAGGAGAAGCCACACCGACCGACCGACUUCCCCCAAGUCGGAUUCGACCAAAACUGCAUUUGAUUUCCUGCCUCUGUGUUACGGUCAAGAUUGCCAUUUGCUUCCUCAAUUUCAGGAUUACAGCUGACAAAAGCAUAUCACAACCAUUAAUCAUAGGUGUAUUUUUUUCCUAAAAAUGAUUUCUUUUACUCAUUUUCCCCUGUCCUCCAUUUUGUUCUGCCACCUGGCAGCUACUUCUU